GACGAACGCUGGCGGCGUGCUUAACACAUGCAAGUCGAACGAUGAAGCUGGAGCUUGCUCUAGCGGAUUAGUGGCGAACGGAUGAGUAACACGUGAGUAACCUGCCCUUGACUCUGGGAUAACUGCGGGAAACUGUAGCUAAUACCGGAUACGACCCUCGGCGGCAUCGCCAGGGGGUGGAAAGAAUUUCGGUCAAGGAUGGACUCGCGGCCUUUCAGCUAGUUGGGGAGGUAACGGCUCACCAAGGCGACGACGGGUAGCCGGCCUGAGAGGGUGACCGGCCACACUGGGACUGAGACACGGCCCAGACUCCUACGGGAGGCAGCAGUGGGGAAUAUUGCACAAUGGGCGCAAGCCUGAUGCAGCAACGCCGCGUGAGGGAUGACGGCCUUCGGGUUGUAAACCUCUUUUAGUAGGGAAGAAGCGAAAGUGACGGUACCUGCAGAAAAAGCACCGGCUAACUACGUGCCAGCAGCCGCCGUAA
rnacentral:rRNA from 1 species